rnacentral:rRNA from 1 species
GACGAACGCUGGCGGCGUGCCUAAUACAUGCAAGUCGAACGAGAGCGACCGGUGCUUGCACUGGUCAAUCUAGUGGCGAACGGGUGAGUAACACGUGGGUAACCUGCCCAUCAGAGGGGGAUAACAUCCGGAAACGGAUGCUAAAACCGCAUAGGUCUUCGAGCCACAUGGCUUGAAGAGGAAAAGAGGCGCAAGCUUCUGCUGAUGGAUGGACCCGCGGUGCAUUAGCUAGUUGGUGAGGUAACGGCUCACCAAGGCCGUGAUGCAUAGCCGACCUGAGAGGGUGAUCGGCCACAUUGGGACUGAGACACGGCCCAAACUCCUACGGGAGGCAGCAGUAGGGAAUCUUCCGCAAUGGACGCAAGUCUGACGGAGCAACGCCGCGUGAGUGAAGAAGGUUUUCGGAUCGUAAAACUCUGUUGUUAGAGAAGAACAAGUGCUAGAGUAACUGUUAGCGCCUUGACGGUAUCUAACCAGAAAGCCACGGCUAACUACGUG